UACGAAGGGGGCUAGCGUUGUUCGGAAUUAUUGGGCGUAAAGAGCUCGUAGGCGGCUUGGCAAGUCGGAUGUGAAAACUCCAGGCUCAACCUGGAGCCGCCAUUCGAUACUGCUAUGGCUAGAGUCCGGUAGGGGAGUGUGGAAUUCCCGGUGUAGCGGUGAAAUGCGCAGAUAUCGGGAGGAACACCGAUGGCGAAGGCAGCACUCUGGGCCGGUACUGACGCUGAGGAGCGAAAGCGUGGGGAGCGAACAGG
rnacentral:rRNA from 1 species